GGGUGAGUAACACGUGGGCAACCUGCCCGCAAGACCGGGAUAACUCCGGGAAACCGGAGCUAAUACCGGAUAACACCAAAGACCGCAUGGUCUUUGGUUGAAAGGCGGCUUCGGCUGUCACUUGCGGAUGGGCCCGCGGCGCAUUAGCUAGUUGGUGAGGUAACGGCUCACCAAGGCGACGAUGCGUAGCCGGCCUGAGAGGGUGACCGGCCACACUGGGACUGAGACACGGCCCAGACUCCUACGGGAGGCAGCAGUAGGGAAUCUUCCGCAAUGGACGAAAGUCUGACGGAGCGACGCCGCGUGAGCGAAGAAGGCCUUCGGGUCGUAAAGCUCUGUUGUGAGGGACGAAGGAGCGCCGUUUGAAUAAGGCGGCGCGGUGACGGUACCUCACGAGAAAGCCCCGGCUAACUACGUGCCAGCAGCCGCGGUAAUACGUAGGGGGCGAGCGUUGUCCGGAAUUAUUGGGCGUAAAGCGCGCGCAGGCGGUCCUUUAAGUCUGAUGUGAAAGCCCACGGCUCAACCGUGGAGGGUCAUUGGAAACUGGGGGACUUGAGUGCAGGAGAGGAGAGCGGAAUUCCACGUGUAGCGGUGAAAUGCGUAGAGAUGUGGAGGAACACCAGUGGCGAAAGCGGCUCUCUGGCCUGUAACUGACGCU
rnacentral:rRNA from 1 species